ensembl:lncRNA
GCUGAACUCAUUUACAUUUUCACUGAAAGUUCAUAAAUGUGCCUUUUUCUCCACAACCUCAGGAGCAUCUGCUGUGUUUGGACUUUUUCACAGUAGCCAUUCCAGCUAGUGUGAGAUGGUAUCUCAUUGUGGUUUUGAGUUGCAAUUCUCUGAUGAAGAGGGAUGUGGAGCAUUUUUUCAUAUGUUCGUUGGUCACUUCUAUGUCUUCUUCUGAGAAGUGUUUGUUCAUGCCUUUGCCAACUCUAUAAUAGAGUUAGCUUGUUCUUAUUUUUCCAGUUCUUCUAGAUGUGACAUCAGAUAGUUAAUUUGAGAUCUUUCUAACUUUGGAGGUAGGCUUCUCGACAUUUCCUCUUAACACUCUUUUUUGCUGCAUCUCAGAGAGUGUGGUAUGUUGUGUCUCUCCUUUCAUUUAUUUCAAAUAAUAUUUUGAUUUUGCCCUUAAAUUGAUUGUCUACCACCAAAUCUUUCUGGGGAAAGUUGUUUAAAUUGGGUGUAGUUUUGUGGUUUUGAGAGAUCUUUUUGAUGUGCUACUGGAUUCAUUUCUAUUGCUGCUGGGAUUAACUUCCAUUUUUAUUCCACUGUACUCUGAGAGUAUGGCUGGUAUGAUUUUGAUUUUUUAAAAUAACUUAAAUUUUUUUUAAUCUAUUAAAUCACCAAGUCCUGGAACAGGUUGUGUUAGCCCUUGAGGCAUUCAUCCAGCACUGUUUCAGAGAAAUCUCCAUUUCACUCUAUUCCUAUAUAUUAGUUAUUAAAAAAUACAUAAACCAGACUACUGCAAAAACAAGUUGACCUCUUUGUGUUCCUUGAACACAGUAGUGAAGGACCCCCCUGACUGGGCCUCAUGCCAAACAACUCAUUACAAAAAGAGCUAGAGACUCAGACUACGGGAAAGCAUCACAAGUCCUCUCCUUGUCUGUACACGGAUGGCUGGCCGAUUCUGGAGCCCAGGCUGUCGCUUCCCGCUGUGGUGAUGAAUCAGUCCUUCAUAGUCCGUUCCCACAGACUCUGCCAUGAUUCCUCACACAAAUAUGGAUACAGGGGAAGACAGAAGUCCUGGAAGGCAAUCUACCCAGCUCUUCCCUUCAUAUCCAGGAGGACUACCUGCACCAUCUCUUUCUGGAUGAUAGCCACUGUCUGCAGAUACAACCACUGCUGGUAUUUCAGCAGCAGAUGCUGUGAUUCCAUUUCACCAGAACGGCAUUGGCUAGUCUUUGUCAACUUGCCUGCUUGUUGGGAGGACAUAAAAACACUUCAGAAACAUACUGGAAAUCUUCAUGAGUAGGCAGAUGGAGUCUCACUCUGUUGCCCAGGUUGGAAUACAGUGGCCCAGUCUUGCCUCACUGCAACCUCCGUCUCCAAGGUUCAAGUGAUUUUCCUGCCUCAGCCUCCCAAGUAGCUGGAACUACAAACAUGGACCACCACAACCAGCUAAUUUUUGAAUUUUUAGUAGAGACAGGGUUUUUCCAUGUUGGCCAGGCUGGUCUUGAACUUCUGAUCUCAAGUGAUUUGUCCACCACCUACCUUGGCCUUUCAAAGUGGUGGAAUUACAGGCAUGAGCCACGAUGACUGGCUGGUAAUGCUCUUAAAGGAAAUAUAUAUAGAGAAUACUUGCCAUGUAUGACCUAAAUAGCUACUAUAUACAUAUUAUUCCCA